rnacentral:lncRNA from 1 species
AUAGCAAUGCAUAAGCCACCCCAAGAGAUCUUUGCCCGAUAUAGGGAACCUGGUCUUGGAGUCGUUGGCUACAUUUCUAUGGGCACGGGCUUAACCGGCCGAAAAAUCAUCACCCCGACCACUAGCGCCGGCGAUCGACCCACCACCGUUGGUGAGUCAUUGCGGGACUAUCCGACCCCCGUGGGGGCUGCGGACACACCCCACCUCAGGUUCGAGGGGGGCCAUGUCGGGGGGCAGCGGAUUUCUACCCCUUAAAGAGCUAAAAAAACUUUGUCAAUUUGCUACUAGGCAACAUUCUUUUUUUUGAACAUAAAAGACCACAAGGGUCAACUCAUAUUAUUACAUAACAUCACCAAUUACAGCUUCAUGGAUAUCCGACGGAUAAUCCAUAUAAAAAAAACAGUUGUUACCUUCACUAUACAUUUUUUUACAAAGUAAAUGGGCAACAUUAUUGCAAGACCGAACGGUCCAAAUUAACUCGGCUGAAAGAAAGAAAUUAAAAUCUGCUAUACAAUCUUUAAUACGGGUGCCUAUAUUUGUGACGUCAUUGGCUAUAUUACUUAGCCUGUUGACCAUUCCAACAUGGUCCGUCUCAAAAAGAACAUGGCCAUUUAUUUUUAAUUUACGCGCCACUUUAAUACUUUCUUCGAAGGCCACACAUUCAGCCUUUUCCACCGACAACCUUCCCUCUUUAAACCCUCCACCGCCUCCUAAAACAAAGCCCUCUUCAUCUCUUAUGAUCGUCCCAUACCCGAUUCUAUUUUCGCCCACUGUAGCAUCAAAAUUUAUUUUAAUGAAGCCCUUUGGAGGUUUAACCCACUGUUUCUCCAGGCCAGUGUGUGAAAUUAAAGGAGCAUUCACCAUGUUACAAAUUAGAAAUUCCUUAUUCAGAUUGCUUGCUCUUUCUCAUAUUACUUGAGCCUCCUCUUCUUUUCCCCUAAAAACGUAAUUAUUUCUAUUAUUCCAGCAGUUCCAUAAUGUUGUCAUUAAGUCAGCCAUAGCCCUCUUGUCAAGGACACGCAUCAUGUCUUCCAACCAAUCAAUGCAAUGGUCAUAUUUCUUUGUGAUAAAGCUCCUGGACCAUCCCCCUGUCGAGAGAACUGCACUCGACGUUGGGCAGUCUUUUAAAGCAUGUAACACCGUUUCUGUCUUGGCUCCACAUCUCAGACAUCCCUUGUCAAAGCCCUGUCUGAUGGAAGCUAUUUUACUGUUAGUUGGGAGAAUUUCGUGUCCCACACGCCAAGUAAAAACCCGUAUCUUCGGUAAAAUAUCAAGCUUCCAUAGUGCUUUCCAAAAAAACCUAUGUGGGCCAUAUCCCAUCUUUUUUAACAGCAGCCAAUAAUAAGUAGACUUUGAGGUAUAGCAUCUAUGCAGAUUAUGGAACCAUAUUAUUCUAUCGUCAUGGUCUAUUCUCCCAAUUGGGAGGUUGCAAAUUUUAUCCCCCCAAUCCUGCCCGUACAACUUAAAGAUUUUAUCCCUAUUCCAGCUUCUCUGAUCCUUAUUCCAUAGGUCUGACACUCUUCUAUCAUUCAGGUCAAGCAAAUCCAUAUUAAGAGCUCCACCGUUUAAUCCUUCCAUCCCCCAGUUAUCAGCCCUUAUGUUUAUCUUAUUUCCAUUUCCUACCUGCCACCCGAAUCCAUUUUUGAGGGUAUUUGCUGCAGCUGCAAUGCUAGUCCACUUAAAAGACGCUUUAUCAACCUUCUUGGAGUUGAAUAUAUUGCCAUCAGGGAAAUACUUAGACGACAACACUUUAUAGCAAAGUGUGUCUUUGUUAUUAAUAAGGCUCCAGACUUGCCUCCCCAGUAGAGCCAAGUUAAACAGUCUGAUGUCCGUUAUGCCAAUUCCACCCAUUCCUUUCGGGUGACACAAUGUUUUCCACGGAAGCAUCGUCCAAAAUCUGCCUUUAUCUUUGCCCGUCUACCAUGCUCUGCUCAGCUUGGAUUGUAUGUCAUCCAGCACACCUCUAGGAGCCUUAAAGAUCGACAAAGCAUAUGUUGGUAUGGACUGAAGAACUGCUUUUAUGAAGACUUCCUUACCGCCAAAUGAAAUGAGCCUUUUGGUCUAGCUGUUUAAUCUGCAUGACAGCUUGUUAAUUAUCUCCUGGAAAGCCACUCUUUUCUUUUUUCCUAUAGGAAGUGGAAGGCCGAGAUAGUUAUCCAGCUUCUCAACCACCUUCAUGCCAAGAAUUUCACCGAAAUUGUGUCUCUGUUCCCUUGGAGUAUUAGGACUAAAAAUAACCAUAGAUUUUUCAUAAUUAAUUUCUUGUCCUGAAACAUUAGCAAAAACCUUCAGUAUAUGGCUAAGACAGGUAAUAUCACUUUGCUUAUUUUUAACAAACAGUAGAGCAUCGUCAGCAAAAAAUAAGUGGUUAACUCUAGGUCCUUUAAUACUAGCCCUAAUUCCUUGUAAUGAUUUUUUAUUCUGAGCCUGAAUCAUCAUCCUUGACAAGGCUUCCAUACAGAAAAGAAACAGAUAAGGGGAUAAAAGGAUCCCCUUGACGGAGACCCCUCUCCGGAAUAAUAAUGUCCGAUAACAAAUUAUUACACUUAACAAAAUAUCUUACCGACCGAACGCAACACAUAAUUUUGUCUAUCCACUGCUCAGCAAACCCCAUUUUCUUCAUUACCUUCUCGAUAAAAUCCCACUCCACUCAAUCAUAUGCUUUACUCAUAUCAAUCUUGAUUGCUAUCCCUUUAUUUGGACCAUUUUUGGAGCUCGGAAGGUAAUGUAGGAGUUCAUGUGCGAUUAAGAUAUUAUCAUGUAUCAUCCUUCCUGGUACGAAAGCGCUUUUGACUGAUACAUCCUGGGAGGGCAACUUUAAGCCGAUUAGCCAAGACCUUUGAAACAAUCUUGUAAAUAAAUCUACAUAAACUAAUGGGACGAUAGUUAGUAAUUUCACAUGGAUCACGAAUUUUUGGAAUUAAUAUAAUCAUUGUCUCAUUCAUAUCAGCGAUGUCAUUUUUUCCCUUAAGAAUGUCCAGAUAGAAUUGAACAGUUUCAUUUCCAACAAUCUCCCAAUGAUUUUUGAAAAAACUUCCCAAUAGACCAUAACCCCCGGAGCUUUGUGAGGGUUCAUUUGUUUAAUAGCUUGGAGAACUUCAUUUUCCGUGUAGUCCAUCGUAAGCCACUCAUUCAUCUCUGUAGUAACACAUUCCUGAAUGUACUCCAUAUCAUGGUUUUCAACGUUCUGACCAUUUGACGAAAGAGUCUCCAAAAGUAAUUUUUAGCCACAUUGCUGAUAUCUAUACUAUCAGUUACCCACUUCCCAUCCUCAUUCUUAAGCUCUAGCAUGAAAAUAUCUCGUAUUCCUAUCCCCAUCUCUUAACCAUUGAGACCUUGACCUUUGAGCCCAGUAUUUUUCUUCCCUGGCAUAAAGUUGGCUAAGUCUGCUCCUCAUCUCCCUUAAAAUGAUCACACUAUCGUCCCUUGUUUCAGAAUCGAUGGCCCGGUCAAUUUUAUUUUCCAACUUCCGCAUAUCAUUUUUCAUUUUCCCAUAUCUAUCCCUCUGCCACGGGCCCAGGACUCCCCGAAUCUUCUCUAACUUGUUAACAUAAUUUGUAGCUUCUCGGUUCCACUCACUGCUAAUAACACUUUUUGCCUUACUAUCCGUAGCCCAACAUUCUUCAAAUCUGAAGCAUAAUCUUUGGCCUCUAGGGUACUCCUUAGGCUUACUGCCCCACAUGUCCCAUAUGAUCGCAUCAUGAUCAGACUGUGUUUGCCGCACCACCUUAGAGGUCAUAAAGGGAUAUUUCUCAAUCAUAGAUACCGAGGUAACAAACCUAUCUAACCUUUCUUUUAUCAUGUUCCCCCCGCUUCUGUUGUUGACCCAAGUAAACCACCCUCUAACAGGUUUAAUAUCCACAAGAGCUAAAUUGUCUAGGACAUCUUUAAAUUCAUCCAUAUGUGCCCUCACCUUCCUUCUCCCUCCAUCUUUUUCAGCUUCAUUCAGGAUAGCAUUAAAGCCCCCCCAACCACCCAAUCCUCCCUCACCAAACCACCUACCUUUUCCAACAUUUCCCAAGAAUUGCUUCUUAAAUUUGGAUUCGCAUGCCCGUAAAAUCCAGUUACACGGAUGUUAUUAUGAUUUUUCAACCGAACCAGGGAAUCAAUGUGAUGCUUAGAGAAACUUUGAAUGGUAACAUCUAUUCCUUCCUCCCACAUUAAAGCAAGACCGCCGCUACGUCCUUCCGAGUUCACGGCUAAACCACUCUGCAUCCUGCAUCUAUUUUGAACCCGACUGAACUCAUUUGCACUCAUCUUUGCUUCGCUCAGGAAAACAAUAUCAGGUUUAUAAGCAGCCAGCAAUUGCUUUAGCUCCCUGACAGUCGCGGUAUUCCCCAAACCUCGACAAUUCUAACAAAAAAACUUCAUGGCAUGAAGAAACCCCAGACCAAGCCACAACCGAAUCAAGAACCGAGAGAAGAGAAAAGGAGAACGAAGCACUCCACCGGACAGAAAUCAAACCAGCCAACAGAGUCUGCAAAAUAAAGACACCAAACAAAAGAAAUCGAAGCGCUGUACCAAUCCAACACAAGAUCGAAAAGAGAACCUCAAAACCCUACAGAGACACCUUUCGAUAAACACCCACCCUCAUGCUUCAAGACAGAGAGAAACAUGCAAGAAAUUGAAACCCGAAGCAGGAAACUACAGUCAAGAGAUACCCAAGAGAUUAAAAACAACUUACACAAAAUCUGAAGAAAACUAAGACAACCGAGUAACAAUAUAAAAAAAGAAUAUUGUAAACAAAAUUCCUGUUACAGCAAGAUUAACCCUACAAUGAGAAUAUCUUGAAACAAGUCAAAAGAAGACUCUACCAUUAAUGUUAUCUAUGCAAAAAGAAUCCGAACCAUUAAUGGCGAUCAUGAAAAAGAUUCAAAAAACCAUGCAUGAUACGUACAAACCCCAUGCACCCUUACGAAAGAAAAAGAACAAUAAAAAAGACCACAAGAAAAUGACAAAACCUCGGCAAGCCCAAUAAAGGAUCUCGUCAAAACCGUACAUGCAAGCCAAUCAAACACAAACGUAAGGGUGUAAAACGAAACCCUUAAUCCAUGCAGAAACGACUAAAAAGAACGUAGAGAAGCCAACUUCACCGCCGCUUUUCUAGUCCACCGUGGGACCCGCCACAAAGCUAUCAGCGACUUAUCCCGAAACAACAAGCACAACACCCGAAAAAAUGAAAACGCACCCAAAGAACACCAAGAAUCGAAAGAAAAAAAAACAAAAAAGGACAAGAAUCACCGUGAAGAUCACUCGAAAGCACUGCAAGAACUUCUUAUCCAAGCGUUUAUCAAACAGGGUCUGACUAUGCUAGAAAGAGAGCGUGACGAACCCCGAGUGUAUUGCCCGUACUCCUCAAUAAUCCUACCACCGCUAACCCCGAAAAGAAACACGGAACCCUUUCACAAUCCCAGCAAAAAUCUUACAAGCUUGAAAAUCACGAUAACUCGGCCAGUCAAAGUAGGGUCAGAACAUGCAACACCUAUGAAAACAACCAAUCACCCGCAGGCCGCAACCACCACUUCAAACCCCACCCUACCGCCAACUGGGGCACCCCAAAAACCCCUAAACUGCCAUAAAAUUCAAAAGAAUAAUAGGCAGACACACGCUAUCAGGCAACAUUUGUAUGUCUGAAACGGGGAAACUUUUCUUUAGCCCGUACAUCCGAGGCACCAGGGUACCCCUGCUACUCGAGGCACCCGCGCAUCCAACGUCCUAGGUUGCCGAUGGUGUCCAAGGCUCCCGCACAUACAAGCACCAAGGUACCAAUGCUGCUCGAGGCUCCCGCACAUCCAAGGCACCAAGGUGCCGAUGGUGCCCAAGGCUCCCGCACGACCAAGGUCCUAGGUUGCCGAUGGUGUCCGAGGCUCCCGCACAUCCAAGCACCAAGGUGCAAAUGGUGCCCGAGGUUCUCGCACGAUCAAGGCCUAGGUUGCCGAUGGUGCCCGAGGCUCCCGCACGACUAGGGGCCUAGGUUGCCGAUGGUGCCCGAGGCUCCCGCACGACCAAGGGCCUAGGUUGCCGAUGGUGUCCGAAGCUCCCGCACAUCCAAGCACCAAGGUGCCAAUGGUGGCCGAGGCUCCCGCACGACCAAGGGUCUAGGUGCUGAUGGUCCCGAGGCUCUCGCACGACCAAGGGCCUAGGUUGCUGAUGGUGCUCGAGGCUCCCGCACGACCAGGGGCCUAGGUUGCCGAUGGUGCCCCAAGCUCCCGCACGACCAAGGGCCUAGGUUUCCGAUGGUGCCCGAGGCUCCUGCACGACCAAAGGCCUAGGAGCCGAUGGUGCCCGAGGCUCUCACAUGACCAAGGACCUAGGUUGCCGAUGGUACCCGAGGCUCCCGCACGACCAGUGGCCUAGGUUGCAGAUGGUGCCCGAAGCUCCUGCACGACCAAUGGCCUAGGUUGCCGAUGGUGCCCGAGGCUCCCGCACGACCAAGGGCUUAGGUGCCGAUGGUGCCCGAGGCUCCCGUACGACCAAGGGCCUAGGUUGCCGAUGGUACCGAGGCUCUUGCACGACCAGGGGCCUAGGUUGCCGAUGGUGCGCGAAGCUCCCGCACGACCAAGGGGCUAGGUUGCUGAUGGUGUCCGAGGCUCACGACCAAGGGCCUAGGUGCCGAUGGUGUCCGAGGCUCCCGCACGACCAGGGGCCUAGGUUGCCGAUGGUGCCCGAGGCUCCCGUACGACCAGGGGCCUAGGUUGCCGAUGGUGCCCGAGGCUCCCGUACGGCCAAGGGCCUAGGUUACCGAUGGUGCCCGAGGCUCCCGCACGACCAAGGGCCAAGGUGCUGAUGGUGCCCGAGGCUCCCGCACGACCAAGGGCCUAGGUGCCGAUGGUACCCAGGCUCUCGCACGACCAGGGGCCUAGGUUGCCGAUGGUGCCCGAGGCUCCCGCACGACCAAGGGCCUAGGUUACCGAUGGUGACCGAGGCUCCUGCACAUCCAAGCACUAAUGUGCUGAUGGUGCCGGAGGCUCCCGCACGACCAAGGGUCUAGGUGCCGAUGGUGCUUGAGGCUCCCACACGACCGACGUCCUAGGUUACCGAUGGCGUCCAAGGCUCCAGCAUGUCCAAGCAACAAUGUGCCGAUGCUCCCGCACCAUCGACGUCCUAGGUUACCAAGGGUACCUGAUGCUUCAGCACGACCAAGGGCCCAAGGUGCCGGAGGCUCUUGUUCCAAAAGGGGAGGGACCAGGAUGAUUCAAAAGGGGAAGGACCGGGAAGACUUGUAGCAUCAUUUUUGAUAUUCCGGGAUGGCUCACCGGAGCACCGUCGGGAUGGCUCGCCGAAACACCACCGGAAUGGAUCGCCGGAGCACCGCCGGGAACCUAAUCGGUGAUGGGGGCACCGACGUCUGGGCAUGAAUUGGGGGUGGGCAGUGCCCUGGACAACCCCUGUUCGCCUCAAUAUCACCUCCCCCCUAAAAAUCUAAAAAAAUUGGUCAAUGUGCUACCAGGCGACAUUCAUGUGUCUGAAACAGGGAUACUUUAUGGUGCCGACGCUUCU